GGGACACAUUGGUAAGGUUUCUUUAGCCAUGCCACCACACUGACCUUACUAGAAUGGUAUGUGGCAAGUUCCUCCUGGCCUUUCUUUAAUAUUAAGCCACGAAGCUUGCAGCUUGAUGUCGGUGUCUGAUGGAAGACAUAAAGAAGCCGGGGUUUCCAUAGGUACCUUGGUUGGACUGAAGAUGAUUUAACAACUAUAAUUGCGCUCAAAUAGCUCAGUUCCUUCCUCUGAGGCAAGUUCUAGACCCUACUACUUUCUGCAAAGCCAAGUUGCUCAGAAAGUGCCUGUAAUCGGUGAUGAGCAGCCUCCAGUGGGCUCUGGAAGAAAGCAAGAUUUAGCUUCUGAAGACUUCAAAUCAAUCAAGACUUCAGCCCACCAUCGAUCAGAGGGACUUGCUGUGUGUAUGUUUCUCCCAGCACCCAGCACAGAGGCACAAAGGCACAGAGGCCCCACGGUGCUUAAUGAGGUUUCUGAAAGAAAUUGCAAUGCAAUU
ensembl:processed_transcript Gm43451 predicted gene 43451